GAUGAAGAACGUAGCGAAAUGCGAUACGUAAUGUGAAUUGCAGAAUUCAGUGAAUCAUCGAAUCUUUGAACGCAUAUUGCGCUCUUUGGUAUUCCGAAGAGUAUGCUUGUUUGAGUAUCAGUAAACACCUCAAAGCUUUUGGAUUUUUUAAUCGAAAAGCUUUGGACUUGAGCAAUCCCAACACCAAUCUUUUUGAGAUCGGUGGCGGGUUGCUUGAAAUGCAGGUGCAGCUGGACAUUCUCCUGAGCUAAAAGCAUAUUCAUUUAGUCCCGUCAAACGGAUUAUUACUUUUGCUGCAGCUAACAUAAAGGGAGUUUGACCGUAUUGGCUGACUGAUGCAGGAUUUCACAAGGGUCGGCAACGAUUCUUGUUAAACUCGAUCUCAAAUCAAGUAAGACUACCCGCUGAACUUAAGCAUAUCAAUAAGCGGAGGA
rnacentral:misc_RNA from 1 species